UUACGAUUUUAGGACGGCGACGGCCAAAACAAACUCCUUCAAAUAAAUGGUAGUAAAGAUAGUUCGUCGUAUAUUAUCAAUCGUAUGAAUUUAAUACAGUUUUAGAAGUUGAAGACAUGGGUUUUAUGGUUGGGAAGAGUUCUGCUAAACCCAGUUUGAAGUUGCACUUGUUGUAGCUUGGAAUGCAGCUGUUGUAUCAAGACGUGAAA